rnacentral:rRNA from 1 species
UACGAGGGGGGCAAGCGUUGUUCGGAAUUAUUGGGCGUAAGGGGCGCGUAGGCGGCGCCACAAGUCACUUGUGAAAACUCUGGGCUCAACUCAGCGCCUGCAAGCGAAACUGUGGUGCUGGAGUAUGGGAGAGGUGCGUGGAAGUCCCGGGGUAGCGGUGAAAUGCGUAGAUAUCGGGAGGAACACCUGUGGCGAAAGCGGCGCACUGGACCAUAACUGACGCUGAGGCGCGAAAGCUAGGGGAGCAAACAGG